ensembl:lncRNA SNHG11 small nucleolar RNA host gene 11
CUCAGCCUCCUCCGCGCGGUUACCCCUGUACCCGCCGCCAUCCGUCCUGGCGCUCCGGAUGAGUCAAUGAGGGGCAGGGCCCGAGGAGUGGUCUUCCCAAGAACCCCUGGUGGCCUCCCAAGGCCGGUGCUGUGUACCUCCUCCCCGACAAAAGGGGAAACUGAGGCCCCGAGGGGAGUGGGAAGAGCCGGCUGGACGUCAGGCCCAGCCGCUGGUGCAGUGGUCCGUCCCCUCUGCCGGGGUGGGCCCCUCGGGUUUCGCGUGUCCUCGGGAAAGAGACUGGCGGGCCUCGUGGGCUGUGCGGCUAUCCUGGAGACAGAUGACAGCUCUCCCUUGGAUGGCUUUGCUGGUUCCGCACCAGCCAGCGCCCCCAUUUUUCCUGCAGCACCCUGAUCUGCACUCCCUGAGGGGCUCCCACUGUCCGCGGUGUGAGGAUGUCCCUGGUCCACUGUGUGCAGAGGCAUGGGAGUUGUCAUGUUGGGAACAUGCUAGACCUCAGUAUCCUUGAGCUUGAAGAAAGACGACAGAACACUGGAGACCAAGUACUUACAGCCUUCUGCUCUGUGGCCCCUCCUCACUCCAGGGAUGCUGCCUUGGGUCUGGAAACUGUUAGAGGAAACCCCAAGAGGUGCAGGCACUGAGCCUCUCAGGACAAUGACCUGGGGUCCCAGCUCCCCUGGAGGGGCCUCCUCAUGGUAAGUGAAUGCCAAGAGGUUAAGUUGGCCUGUGUUUCCGAGGUGGAAAUUCCAGGUCGCUGGCUUCAUUUGUCUUCUCUUUUAGAUUGUUUGGGGGUUGAUCACAGACCAAGAGUGACGAGUGAUGUCACCCUGUGACUCAUGGCUGGACCUUCUUGCCCCUAUUGUCUCAGCACAACAUUAUUCGACUUUUCCCUCAGCGUGGGUGGGCAGAGGAAAAGCCCUGUGGCUCUGGGGACUUGGGAUCCAGAGUUGAAGACCCUUCAGCUGGCUCUGCCCUGCCAGUGCCACAGAGUGCCAUGGCCCAGGAAGACAGGUUUUCUUCCAUCUAGGCCAGGCCAUCCAGUGGCCAUCCUCCGUGUCCUCCCGCCUCCUCCUGGUGUGACUUCUGAAAACCAAGAAUUUGUUCCUGUUGACUUUUUCUGUGCUAUGGACCAUUGUCCUCUCACCCACUCAAUAAAUCUUGAAACAUGC